CCCAAUAGAUUUCUAGUACAUUGGACUAAUUCUACUUCAUUUUAUAAGCAUUUGUGUCAAUGGAAAUAGGUUUACUGUAAUUCAUCGACUUAUAACAUGGUUGUUAUUGUGUUCAGAUAUAUUCCGCAGGAGAGACCAGGGACAAAAUGGAACUGCUAUGUUUCAGUAUGACGAUUUCAUCCAGUGCACUAUGAGCACCUGAGGGAAAUCUCUGGAACAAGGAAAAUCUGAUAUAUUUCAGCAUCACUGUUUGUCAUGAGCUUUUUUUUUUUUUUUUAUACAAGUGCUUCUUUUUUAAACAUCUGCCCUAACUAAUAACAAACGAAACAACUAUUAUGUUUAACGGUUAUGUGCAUGUUUAUAAGGUUAAUACUUUUUGGAAUUUGAUUUGUUAAAUAAUUAAAUAUAUAUUAAAGGACCAAACCACUUAUAAAUGAACUGUGUAACCCAAAGCUUGUAUUCAAUGAUAAAAAAAAAAAAUCA